GGUUCUCCUCGAAAUAGCUUUAGGGCUAGCCUCAUGGAUCAUUGAUGGGGGUAGAGCACUGAAUGUGCGCGGGGGCCACAAAGCCUACCAAACGCUAUCAAACUUCGAAUACCAUACAAUGCAGACCAUGGGAGUCAGUCCGCGAGAGAUAAGUUCCGCGGGCAAAAGGGGAACACCCCAGAUCAACCGCUAAGGUCCCCAAGUUCACGUUAAGUGGAGAAGGAUGUGGAAUUGCACAGACAACCAGGAUGUUGGCUCAGAAGCAGCCACACAUUUAAAGAGUGCGUAAUAGCUCACUGGUCGAGUGAUUGUGCGCCGAAGAUGUCCGGGGCUAAACGUGACACCGAAGCGAUGGGUGCGUCUGAAGAAGAUGCGCGGUAGAGGAGCAAUGUGCAGAGGCAGAAGCCGUAUCGAGAGGCACGGUGGACACUGCACAAGAGAGAAUGCCGGUAUGAGUAGCGAGAGGCAUGCGAGAAACAUGCCCGUCGAAAGCCCAAGGUUUCCUGGGGAAGGUUCAUCCGCCCAGGGUAAGUCGGGGCCUAAGCCGAGGACGGAAGUCGUAGGCGAUGGACAGCAGGUGUAGAUUCCUGCACUACCGAUGGAAUGAAGCAGUGACACAGAAGGAUAACUCGAGCAGGGUGAUGGUCAACCCUGUGCAAGCAUCAAGGUUGGGUUGUAGUGAAGUACGCAACCCUAUAAGCUGAGGUGUGAUGCGGACCGAAAUUUCAGUAGGGAAGCGAGUGAGUUCACGCUGGCGAGAAAAGCUGCUAGUACAUCCAAAGGUACCCGUACCGGAAACCGACGCAGGUGGGCGAGGAGAGAAUCCUGAGACGAACGGGAGAACCCUUGUUAAGGAACUCGGCAAAAUGACCCCGUAACUUCGGGAUAAGGGGUGCCUGCGAGAGCAGGCCGCAGAGAAUAGUCACAAGCGACUGUUUAGCAAAAACACAGGUAUCUGCGAAAGCGAGAGCUGACGUAUAGGUGCUGACACCUGCCCGGUGCUGGAAGGUUAAGGGAACAUGUUAGAGCAAUCGAAGCAUCGAACCGAAGCCCCAGUAAACGGCGGCCGUAACUAUAACGGUCCUAAGGUAGCGAAAUUCCUUGUCGGGUAAGUUCCGACCCGCACGAAUGGUGUAACGACUUGUGAGCUGUCUCAACAGGGGGCCCGGUGAAAUUGAAGUAUGGGUGAAGAUGCCCAUUACCCGCGACUGGACGGAAAGACCCCGUAGAGCUUUACUGCAGCCUGAUAUUGAGUUUCGGUAACUGAUGCACAGGAUAGGUGGGAGUCUGAGAGACAUGGGUUUCGGCUCAUGUGGAGACGGUGUUGGGAUACCACUCUUCGGUUACUGAAAUUCUAACAUAGCUCUGUGAAACCAGAGGAUGGACAGUGUCAGGUGGACAGUUUGACUGGGGCGGUCGCCUCCGAAAGAGUAACGGAGGCGCCCAAAGGUACCCUCAGAAUGGAUGGAAACCAUUCGAAGAGCGCAAAGGCAGAAGGGUGCCUGACUGCGAGAGUGACAACUCGAGCAGAGACGAAAGUCGGGCUUAGUGAUCCGGCGGUAUUGAGUGGAAAAGCCGUCGCUUAACGGAUAAAAGCUACCUCGGGGAUAACAGGCUGAUCUCCCCCAAGAGUCCACAUCGACGGGGAGGUUUGGCAC
rnacentral:rRNA from 1 species